CUCUCUCUCUCUCUCUCUCUGUGUGUGUGUCUCUCUCUCUCUCUCUCUCUCUCUCUCUCUCUCUCUCUGUGUGUGUGUGUGUCUCAUACUGACUGGUGCUAAUCUCCUCUCCAGGAUUGUGUUGUAUUGUUGCUGUGCUGUUCGUCUGUGUGUGUUCAGAUGGAGCAUCAGUAGCGUGUGGUCAGAGUGAGGUCAGACUCCGGUCACAUGGGGUCAAACCCUCACACAGAUGCAGCGUCUCCAGAGCUGUUUCCCCGCGGCGUCUCUUCAGAUCCGCUGUGUGGAGAUACCAAACCAUUUUCUACCGUCUCGAACAGUCAAGAAAUAAAGGCCUGGAAAUGAUUCUGCAGGAGUCCGGCGUGUUUCUGCUUCAUAUUCAAAGGUUUUGUCUUCUCCAGAUGUUCACUGAUGGACUGGAGUGCUGUGGAUUAUUGUGAUGUUUUUAUCAGACUCUCAUUCUGACGGCACCCAUUCACUGCAGAGUAUAGAACGGUCACUUUAACACAAAGACACAUGGUUACAAACAUAAAAACUUUUAUUUGCAGGGACAGCAGAUACAAUAUCUGACUGAUAUUUGAUGUUGAUUAUAAAAGUAUUAAUGCACAUUGAUUUACACAUCUGUAAUGUUCUGUUGCCAUGCUUCAGUAAACGAAUCCUCAAC